AAUUAGCCCCGAUAGAACGGAAAGCCCGCAUCCCGAUUUUUCAUCGGGAGAGGACUUGCAGAGAAAGCGGGACCGAAC
rnacentral:misc_RNA from 1 species